AUUGAACGCUGGCGGAAUGCUUUACACAUGCAAGUCGAACGGUAGAGGGGGCAACCCCUCGAGAGUGGCGAACGGGUGAGUAAUAUAUCGGAACGUGCCCAGUCGCGGGGGAUAACGUAGCGAAAGUUACGCUAAUACCGCAUACGAUCUAAGGAUGAAAGCGGGGGAUCGCAAGACCUCGCGCGCUUGGAGCGGCCGAUAGCAGAUUAGGUAGUUGGUGGGGUAAAGGCUCACCAAGCCAACGAUCUGUAGCUGGUCUGAGAGGACGACCAGCCAAACUGGAACUGAGACACGGUCCAGACUCCUACGGGAGGCAGCAGUGGGGAAUUUUGGACAAUGGACGCAAGUCUGAUCCAGCCAUUCCGCGUGCAGGAUGAAGGCCCUCGGGUUGUAAACUGCUUUUGUACGGAACGAAAAGGUCUCUCUUAAUACGGGGGGCUCAUGACGGUACCGUAAGAAUAAGCACCGGCUAACUACGUGCCAGCCGCCGCAGUAA
rnacentral:rRNA from 1 species